rnacentral:tRNA from 1 species
UGCCAAGGGAUGGGAAUCGAACCCACGACCUUCCGCUUACCGGGCAGAUGCCAUGACCACUAGGCUACCCUGGA